UGGGGAAUAUUGCACAAUGGGCGCAAGCCUGAUGCAGCCAUGCCGCGUGUAUGAAGAAGGCCUUCGGGUUGUAAAGUACUUUCAGCGGGGAGGAAGGUGUUGUGGUUAAUAACCUCAGCAAUUGACGUUACCCGCAGAAGAAGCACCGGCUAACUCCGUGCCAGCAGCCGCGGUAAUACGGAGGGGGCAAGCGUUAAUCGGAAUUACUGGGCGUAAAGCGCACGCAGGCGGUCUGUCAAGUCGGAUGUGAAAUCCCCGGGCUCAACCUGGGAACUGCAUCCGAAACUGGCAGGCUUGAGUCUUGUAGAGGGGGGUAGAAUUCCAGGUGUAGCGGUGAAAUGCGUAGAGAUCUGGAGGAAUACCGGUGGCGAAGGCGGCCCCCUGGACAAAGACUGACGCUCAGGUGCGAAAGCGUGGGGAGCAAACA
rnacentral:rRNA from 1 species